UACCUACGGGAGGCAGCAGUGAGGAAUAUUGGUCAAUGGCCGAGAGGCUGAACCAGCCAAGUCGCGUGAGGGAUGACGGCCCUACGGGUUGUAAACCUCUUUUGCCGGGGAGCAAAGAGCGGGACGCGUCCCGCCUCGAGAGUACCCGGAGAAAAAGCAUCGGCUAACUCCGUGCCAGCAGCCGCGGUAAUACGGAGGAUGCGAGCGUUAUCCGGAUUUAUUGGGUUUAAAGGGUGCGUAGGCGGAAGGUUAAGUCAGCGGUCAAAUGUCGGUGCUCAACACCGGCCCGCUGUUGAAACUGGUCU
rnacentral:rRNA from 1 species